CAUACCUAUUCGAAGGGAUAGGGUCGGUUUGGCCGGAUUUCACACAGGUGUUGCAUGGCUGUCGUCAGCUCGUGUCGUGAGAUGUUGGGUUAAGUCCCGCAACGAGCGCAACCCUCAUCCUUAGUUACCAUCAGGUUAUGCUGGGGACUUUAAGGAAACUGCCAGUGAUAAACUGGAGGAGGGUGGGGAUGAUGUCAAGUCAUCAUGGCCCUUAUGGAGUGGGCCACACACGUGCUACAAUGGUGAUUACAAUGGGCUGCAAGGUCGCAAGGCUGAGCUAAUCCUAAAAAAUCAUCUCAGUUCGGAUUGUUCUCUGCAACUCGAGAGCAUGAAGUUGGAAUCGCUAGUAAUCGUGGAUCAGCAUGCCACGGUGAAUACGUUCUCGGGUCUUGUACACACUGCCCGUCACGCCAUGGGAAUUGGUUUCACUCGAAGCU
rnacentral:rRNA from 1 species